rnacentral:misc_RNA from 1 species
GAUGAAGAACGUAGCGAAAUGCGAUAAGUAAUGUGAAUUGCAGAAUUCAGUGAAUCAUCGAAUCUUUGAACGCAUAUUGCGCUCUCUGGUAUUCCGGAGAGCAUGCUUGUUUGAGUAUCAGUAAACACCUCAACUCCCUUUUCUUUUUUGAAAUUGGAGCUGGACUUGAGUGAUCCCAACGCUUUCUUCCAAGAAAGUGGCGGGUUGCUUGAAAUGCAGGUGCAGCUGAACUUUUCUCUGAGCUAUAAGCAUAUCUAUUUAGUCUGCCUAAAAAACAGAUUAUUACCUUUGCUGCAGCUAACAUAAAGGAGACUAGUUCUUGUGCUGACUGAUGCAGGAUUCACAGAGACAGCUUCGGCUGACUUUGUAAACUCGAUCUCAAAUCAAGUAAGACUACCCGCUGAACUUAAGCAUAUCAAUAAGCGGAGGA